rnacentral:misc_RNA from 1 species
AUAUAUUCAUUCUAUACAUCAGCUGGCGAGUGAGAGGUGACCCAUCUCCUCUCUCUCCAUCCGGCCUAUUUAAUCAAUAAAUACAUGUAUUCAAACACUAGUUUAACAAUCAUAAACAGAUAAUGAGGUACCAUUAUCUUCCGUUUAUAACGCUAAUUUUGGAUACGAUUUUUUAUCCGAGGAAGACGAGAAAUUUUUUUCGUUCGAGAAUUACCACAAUCUACCUGAGAAGGCACAAAUAUUUAUCUCUGCUUUGGAGGAACGCGAAGAGAAGAACAAGAAGUUCACAUAUGCGGCUCUAUGUGAGUAUUUUUUGUGGGGGCUUUCAGGGGUUUUCAAUUUUGGAAACUGUUUAGCACCCCUAGUAGCCCUACUCGUAAGACUCACUCUUGCGGAUUUAUUCCCUCACACUGGUUCGAUCGAACAAGACUUCAUCCUCCUCCUAACCGAUCAGAAAAACAGAUAUGAUAAAAAAUGUUGGCUUGCUCGUCGCUGCCUCGAUUUCGACGAAUGUGUUCAGUAUGGUCAGCUCAUCUACUUUGGGAUCUACUCUUUAGAAAAUAACCACAAAACCGCCCUCGUCACAAUUUUCGAUCCCGAAUGCUGAAAAAUUGCCAUUGUGAGAAUACAUAAAAUGAAGAGCGCAUCUGUCAAAAAACUAAAAAACUUUCUGAGAAAAUUAUCAUAUCAGAGAGACAUGGUCUCCUAUGGUAAAGAAGAUUUUUUGGCGGACAUCGAGCACAAAGACAUGCAAUCAAAAUUCGUUCGCACGAACGGAACGAGAAGUCUCCUCAGUCUAAAAGCUGAAGCAACGUAUUGGACAGGAUUGGACCUCCACAAGGGCGAGACUAUGUCCGAUUGGACGAACACUCAUCUACGUGGAGACCAACUGAGAUAUGCUAUCAUGGACACAAUCGUUAUGCAUCUCAUUAUAAAGCAGAGGCUAAGAAAUAUUCAUAAGAACGAUCCACGACUGUUCCAGUACGUAUUCGAGAAUGGUCAUCCUCUACCCUACAACCGAUGA